GACGAACGCUGGCGGCGUGCCUAAUACAUGCAAGUAGAACGCAGUUGCGAACGGGUGAGUAACGCGUAGGUAACUGCCUCAUAGCGGGGGAUAACUAUUGGAAACGAUAGCUAAUACCGCAUACUGUGAGAUGGACCUGCGUUGUAUUAGCUAGUUGGUGAGGUAAAGGCUCACCAAGGCGACGAUACAUAGCCGACCUGAGAGGGUGGACGGCCACCCUGUGACUGAGACACGGACCAAAAUCCUACGGUAGGCAGCUGUAGGGAAUCUUCGGAAAUGGACGAAAUUCUGACCGGACAACGCCGCGUGAGUGAAGAAGUUUUUCGGAUCGUAAAGCUCUGUUGUUAGAGAAGCGGUACCUAACCAGAAAGGAACGGCUAACUACGUGCCAACAGCCGCGGUAAUAC
rnacentral:rRNA from 1 species